rnacentral:rRNA from 1 species
GACGAACGCUGGCGGCGUGCUUAACACAUGCAAGUCGAGCGGUAAGGCCCUUUCGGGGGUACACGAGCGGCGAACGGGUGAGUAACACGUGGGUGACCUGCCCUCAGCUCUGGGAUAAGCCUGGGAAACUGGGUCUAAUACUGGAUAUGACUCCAUGACGCAUGUUGUGGGGUGGAAAGCCUUGUGCGGCUGAGGAUGGGCCCGCGGCCUAUCAGCUUGUUGGUGGGGNGAUGGCCUACCAAGGCGACGACGGGUAGCCGGCCUGAGAGGGCGACCGGCCACACUGGGACUGAGACACGGCCCAGACUCCUACGGGAGGCAGCAGUGGGGAAUCUUGCGCAAUGGGCGAAAGCCUGACGCAGCGACGCCGCGUGAGGGAUGACGGCCUGGU